GGGAUGCCGAGCGCAGAUCCACAAACUUUACAAUACAUAGAUGGAAUAAAGCUAGUAUGGGUGACAUAAAAACAUAUAGAAGAGUAUUGUAAAAACAGUGAACAGAUAAGUGCA